AGAACUUAGCAGAGAUGCUUUGGUGCCUUCGGGAACUCUGAGGACAGGUGCUGCAUGGCUGUCGUCAGCUCGUGUUGUGAAAUGUUGGGUUAAGUCCCGCAACGAGCGCAACCCUUAUCCUUUGUUGCCAGCGGUCCGGCCGGGAACUCAAAGGAGACUGCCAGUGAUAAACUGGAGGAAGGUGGGGAUGACGUCAAGUCAUCAUGGCCCUUACGAGUAGGGCUACACACGUGCUACAAUGGCGCAUACAAAGAGAAGCGACCUCGCGAGAGCAAGCGGACCUCAUAAAGUGCGUCGUAGUCCGGAUUGGAGUCUGCAACUCGACUCCAUGAAGUCGGAAUCGCUAGUAAUCGUGGAUCAGAAUGCCACGGUGAAUACGUUCCCGGGCCUUGUACACACCGCCCGUCACACCAUGGGAGUGGGUUGCAAAAGAAGUAGGUAGCUUAACCUUCGGGAGGGCGCUUACCACUUUGUGAUUCAUGACUGGGGUGAAGUCGUAACAAGGUAAGCGUAGUGCU
rnacentral:rRNA from 1 species